rnacentral:tRNA from 7 species
GCCGGGGUGGCGGAACGGUAUACGCGGACGGCUCAAACCCGUCUGGCCUUGAUCGGCCUUAGGGGUUCGAAUCCCCUCCUCGGUACGA